ACCUCUAAUAUAAAACUUUAACAUAGGCUCUAAAAUCAAAGUGCUUUGACCUACAACUUUGAAACUUCAUAUGUAGAUGCACCUUGAUGAGUUCUACAUGCCACACCCAUUUUUGGGUCACUAGGUCAAAGGUCAAGGUCACUGUGACCUCUAAUAUAAAACUUAAACAUAGGCUCUAAAAUCAAAGUGCUUCCACCUACAACUUUGAAACUUCAUAUGUAGAUGCACCUUGAUGAGUUCUACACGCCACACCCAUUUUUGGGUCACUAGGUCAAAGGUCAA